rnacentral:rRNA from 1 species
CCUACGGGAGGCAGCAGUGGGGAAUAUUGGGCAAUGGAGGCAACUCUGACCCAGCAACGCCGCGUGAAUGAUGAAGGUCUUCGGAUUGUAAAGUUCUGUGAUGGGGGAUGAACACAAUGACGGUACCCCAAUAGCAAGCCACGGCUAACCACGUGCCAGCAGCCGCGGUAAUACGUAGGUGGCAAGCGUUAUCCGGAAUGACUGGGCGUAAAGGGUGCGUAGGUGGUUUAGUAAGUUGGCGGUGUAAUUCCGGGGCUCAACCUCGGGACUGCUCUGGAAACUAUUGAACUUGAGUGCAGGAGAGGUAAGCGGAAUUCCUAGUGUAGCGGUGAAAUGCGUAGAUAUUAGGAGGAACACCAGUGGCGAAGGCGGCUUACUGGACUGUAACUGACGUUGAGGCUCGAAAGCGUGGGGAGCAAACAGGAUUAGAUACCCUUGUAGUC